rnacentral:rRNA from 1 species
UACGUAGGCAGCAAGCGUUGUUCGGAGUUACUGGGCGUAAAGGGUGUGUAGGCGGCCCCCUAAGUUUGGUGUGAAAUCUCCCGGCUUAACCGGGAGGGUGCGCCGAAGACUGGAGGGCUCGAGUACGGAAGAGGCGAGUGGAAUUCCCGGUGUAGCGGUGAAAUGCGCAGAUAUCGGGAGGAACACCAAUGGCGAAGGCAGCUCGCUGGGACGUUACUGACGCUGAGACGCGAAAGCGUGGGGAGCAAACAGG